rnacentral:rRNA from 1 species
GUGUCAGCAGCCGCGGUAAUACGUAGGGUGCGAGCGUUGUCCGGAAUUAUUGGGCGUAAAGAGCUCGUAGGCGGUCUGUCGCGUCGAUCGUGAAAACUUGGGGCUUAACCCUGAGCUUGCGGUCGAUACGGGCAUGACUGGAGUUCGGCAGGGGAGACUGGAAUUCCUGGUGUAGCGGUGAAAUGCGCAGAUAUCAGGAGGAACACCGGUGGCGAAGGCGGGUCUCUGGGCCGAUACUGACGCUGAGGAGCGAAAGCGUGGGGAGCGAACAGGAUUAGAAACCCCCGUAGUCC